AUUGAACGCUGGCGGCAUGCUUUACACAUGCAAGUCGAACGGUAACAGGCCGCAAGGUGCUGACGAGUGGCGAACGGGUGAGUAAUGCAUCGGAACGUGCCCAGUCGGGGGGGAUAACGCAGCGAAAGCUGUGCUAAUACCGCAUACGAUCUAUGGAUGAAAGCGGGGGACCGUAAGGCCUCGCGCGAUUGGAGCGGCCGAUGUCAGAUUAGGUGGUUGGUGGGGUAAAGGCUCACCAAGCCAACGAUCUGUAGCUGGUCUGAGAGGACGACCAGCCACACUGGGACUGAGACACGGCCCAGACUCCUACGGGAGGCAGCAGUGGGGAAUUUUGGACAAUGGGCGCAAGCCUGAUCCAGCAAUGCCGCGUGCAGGAAGAAGGCCUUCGGGUUGUAAACUGCUUUUGUACGGAACGAAAAGGUUUGGGUUAAUACCCUGGGCCGAUGACGGUACCGUAAGAAUAAGCACCGGCUAACUACGUGCCAGCCGCCGCAGUAA
rnacentral:rRNA from 1 species